rnacentral:rRNA from 1 species
UACGUAGGCAGCAAGCGUUGUUCGGAGUUACUGGGCGUAAAGGGUGCGUAGGCGGCUUUUUAAGUUUGGUGUGAAAUCUCCCGGCUCAACUGGGAGGGUGCGCCGAAUACUGAGUGACUCGAGUGCGGGAGAGGAAAGUGGAAUUCCUGGUGUAGCGGUGAAAUGCGUAGAUAUCAGGAGGAACACCGGUGGUGUAGACGGCUUUCUGGACCGUAACUGACGCUGAAACACGAAAGCGUGGGUAGCAAACAGG